rnacentral:rRNA from 1 species
UACGAAGGGGGCUAGCGUUGUUCGGAUUUACUGGGCGUAAAGCGCACGUAGGCGGAUUGUUAAGUGAGGGGUGAAAUCCUGGAGCUCAACUCCAGAACUGCCUUUCAUACUGGCAAUCUAGAGUCCGGAAGAGGUAAGUGGAACUCCUAGUGUAGAGGUGGAAUUCGUAGAUAUUAGGAAGAACACCAGUGGCGAAGGCGGCUUACUGGUCCGGUACUGACGCUGAGGUGCGAAAGCGUGGGGAG